GUGAGAUAUACUGGUUCUAAAACCAUUUCUUUCACUUCGUCUUCGAGUUGUAAAACAAAAGUAUUUCAAAUUUUCAAGGCCAAGCGGUUUUUGACCGAACAAAUUGUCAAGACAUUGAAACGGAGGAUAAUUAAUUAUUGCUUCAGUUAAUGGCUAUUAGACUAUAUUAUAAAACAAUUAUACCAUUCGCUCUCGUCGUAUAUGGCUGAUAGCCGACUCGGUGCUACGCACCUCGUCGGCUAUCAGCUCAUAUACGACUCAAGCUCAUGGUAUAAUUGUUAAAUAUAUAGUUUAAGUUUUUGGUUUACGAAACACAAACAGUGCUCAAUACCAUAUAGAUAGAGCGUAAUAUAUUUUUUCGUUUUACCUCAAAAAACCCACAACAGUCUGCUUCAUCCAUGGGAAUCGAACCUACGACCUUUGGAAUACCAGACCAAUGCUCUUCCAACUGAGCGACCUGACCUGAGUUGGCAGGGCAUUGGGUUGGUAUUCCAAAGGUCGUAGGUUCGAUUUCCACCGUGGCAAGGCAAACUUUUCAAGCUUGCCAGGUGUGGAUAUACACUCAGAGUAACAUCACAGACAUCAUAUUCACCUGAGUACAUUACACCAACACAGAAAAAUCAUGAUUACUAGAUUGCAUUGAUGUCGAAGGAACUAGACUCAGUUCCGAAAUAUCACAUACUCGAACCGACCUGACCGCGUAGCUCAGUUGGCAGAGCAUUGGGCGAGCAGUUGUUAGUUUGCACUGGAAAAGUUGAUCAUUAUCAUUAUGACGCUCACCUCCUACGCCACCUCCCAACUUUUACUCUUUCGCCACGCCCUUGUGUGUGUGUAAGGCACCAUACUCCAGUUUGUUGAUAAUAUAGUUGUCAUAGCGGAGCCUUGUGGAACACCAGAAAGUCGUUAAAGCGGGUUUUCAAUCAAAUUUUUUAAUUCAAUUUUAGUCAAAAUAUUUAAUCACAUUAAUGAGGCAAAACCGAAAAUAGCCACAAAGCUAGUCUAGGCGGUCUUGUCUAUAGUACACACAAUAAGUUAAAUAAAUGUAUUAAUUUGCAAG